AUGAACCCUCACGAUGAACCUCAGAGGAGAGCGGUGCAGUGGGAGGACCCCCCCCCCCCCCCCAGAGACCCAGGAGGACCCCCCCCCCCCCAGAGACCCAUGGAGGACCCCCCCCCCCCCCCAGAGACCCAGGAGGACCCCCCCCAGAGACCCAUGGAGGACCCCCCCCCCCCCCCCAGAGACCCAGGAGGACCCCCCCCCCAGAGACCCAUGGAGGACCCCCCCCCCCCCCCCAGAGACCCAGGAGGACCCCCCCCCCCCCCCAAGAGACCCAGGAGGACCACCCCCCCCCCCCGAAACCCUGUCCUGUGUCCACUACGGUUGUCCCCUACGGUUGUCCCCUGUCCACUACGGUUGUCCCCUGUCCCCUACGGUUGUCCCCUGCCCUAUGUCCACUACGGUUGUCCUAUGUCCCCUACGGUUGUCCCCUGCCCUAUUUCCUCUACGGUGGUCCCCUGCCCUAUGUCCCCUACGGUUGUCCCCUGUCCCCUACGGUUGUCCCCUGCCCUAUGUCCCCUACGGUUGUCCCCUGUCCUAUGUCCUCUACGGUUGUCCCCUGCCCUAUGUCCCCUACGGUUGUCCCCUGUCCCCUACGGUUGUCCCCUGCCCUAUGUCCCCUACGGUUGUCCCCUUUCCCCUACGGUUGUCCCCUGCCCUAUGUCCCCUACGGUUGUCCCCUGUCCCCUACGGUUGUCCCCUGUCCUAUGUCCUCUACGGUUGUCCCCUGCCCUAUGUCCCCUACGGUUGUCCCCUGUCCCCUACGGUUGUCCCCUGCCCUAUGUCCCCUACGGUUGUCCCCUGCCCUAUGUCCCCUACGGUUGUCCCCUGUCCCCUACGGUUGUCCCCUGCCCUAUGUCCCCUACGGUUGUCCCCUGCCCUAUGUCCCCUACGGUUGUCCCCUGUCCUAUGUCCCCUAUGGUUGUUUCCAUACCGAUACCAGGAUUGCAAAUUCCCCCGAUAUUUGUUUCUGCAACGUCCACAUUUCCACAUAUACAUACGUACAUAUACAUACAUAAAUAUACAGUAUAUCUAUACUAUUUCUUAACAGCAAAAGCACAAUUUUGCCCUUUAUAUUUUAAAUGA
rnacentral:lncRNA from 1 species